AUGCACCCAACAGUGCUUCACAAGAUAAACCCAGAAAUUUCAAAUACAAACCCAUAGCUGUGGUCUUUCUGAAUUCUAUGCAACUGAAAAAUGGCUCUGAUAUUUUUCUGCAGUGAAAACAAGAGUGAAAACGAAGAGGUGGCAUUUUCUGAAGGGAGCUGCAAGUUUAUUCAGCAGUGGUGCCAUGAGUCUAUCCAGGAGUACCGUGAAUCUAAAGGUUGAGAACCUCUGCUUUAAAAUAUAGCAGAUCUAUACAAUAUACAUUUCUGUCAAUAAUAUGAAUCUAAGAACCUACAUACCAGAUAUAUUCAUAUCCUUAAAAUAAAUUCUGUUAGGAAAUAUAAGCUUAGAUUAGAAGACCAGUGUUAUAGAGGAAAAUUUAUAUUUUAAAAGGGAAAACUGCAUAAAAAUAUUGACAUACUAAUUUAGUGGCUGAGUAUUCAAUACAAAUACAAAGAAAAAUUAACAUGUUCACUGGAAGACUGUUUGUCUUCAAGUAAUUUAUAACACUGCCAAAAGUGAGAUUUAAAACCAUGGCUUCCACUGUUUUCUAAACCUCCAAUAGUUGACUGGUUAAGUCAGUCAAAUGAACUCAGUGAAAACCAUUUUGUUAAUGGUUUCUUUAAAUUAAGGUGAUUUUGCUGACCUCCAAAGCUGUGUUACAUGUAAAUCUGUUAUAGCAUUUUCAUUUCGCAUUAUUUUCUAAACAGCUGAAGGUAUUUAAAAAUAAUAAUAAUAAUUUGGGGGACUUUUUGGGUUAUUGCUAUUUGACAGAACAAACUCAAGAAGUCCAUGUGUAUAUUACAAGAAUCAAUUAUUUGCUAUUGAUUUAUUUCUUAAUAAAUACAUUGAUUUCUUAAUCAAACUUUUUAAAUGUCAAUACUGCCCUCUGUUGAAUGAAUGUGGUAUGGAUCAAUGGAAAAACUACAGAAAAUCUCUCUCUCUCACCUGUCCUAAAUUCAGGUUUCUAACUGGUGCUCAAAAUAAUGAUACCAAGAGAGCCUGACUAUUAUGUUGAACAGCAUGAUAACCUUAAGAGUGUCUGGUCUGUCCCACCCUACCCCAAACAAUAGCAUUUAUACUGCCCACAGCAAUAUGUAUUUUCUGGGAACAAAGAUCUACUGAAAAGGACAAAUAUGUGUACACAGCUGAAGGGGCAGAAUACAAGUGCUCUACCUUUUUUCCCCAGGAAACUAUAACACAGAGCCAUGAAAUUCAUAUUUGAUUUAUCUUCUAUUGGUCCCAAUUUUUUUUUGGUCAAUUUAGCGCUCUCUAAAUUGGCAGCAGCCAGAGAUUCAGCUAUUAUUAUUUAAGAUCUCAUAUCUUAAUCCUGGAAAUAUAACUGUGCUUUUUGACUUCUGAACUUCAUCUCUUUGUAUUCUGCUACUUGUUCCAAUCUUUGCACAUAACUUUCCAAGUAUGUGCCAUCACUCACUUGCAAGUUUUGAGAUUGCUGGUAAACGCUAAUUUUCCAGCUCUGUCCAGAUUAUUAAUAAAAUUAAAUUGGACUGCUCUAAAUAUCUGUUUGUGGUAGCCUCCUUUUUAGUGUUAUGAUUAAUGAAUACUUUCUGAUAUUGUAAAUUAGAUCUUAAUCCAUGCAAUAGUGCAUUAGAGUGCUUAGUAACAGGUUUUCAUGUGCCAUUACAAUGAAAGGCUUACUGAACCUGACAUGUAAAUUGUUUUCUACUUUUCCUUUGUAUACUAAAAUGUAAUUAAAUUUGGCUGGCAUAGCUUAUUUGUAAUUGGGCAUUUGUUUUAUUCAGUUUCAUCUUGAUUUUACUGCAUUCUUUACAGGCAGCCCUCACACUUAUGACACAAUUGUUUCCUGAAAACUGCGUCUUAAGUCGAAACAUCAAGAGUUGGAACCAAUUUUCCCAUAGGAAUAAUAUUAUAAAAAGGGGAUUGGUUUCUUUACCACCAUCAAGACAGCUGCAUAGAGCUGGUAAAUCUGUUGUGAUGGGGGUA